AUUGAACGCUGGCGGCAUGCCUUACACACGCAAGUCGAACGGCAGCACGGGAGCAAUCCUGGUGGCGAGUGGCGAACGGGUGAGUAAUAUAUCGGAACGUGCCCAGUCGUGGGGGAUAACUACUCGAAAGAGUAGCUAAUACCGCAUACGAUCUACGGAUGAAAGCGGGGGAUCUUCGGACCUCGCGCGAUUGGAGCGGCCGAUAUCAGAUUAGGUAGUUGGUAGGGUAAAAGCCUACCAAGCCUGCGAUCUGUAGCUGGUCUGAGAGGACGACCAGCCACACUGGAACUGAGACACGGUCCAGACUCCUACGGGAGGCAGCAGUGGGGAAUUGUGGACAAUGGGCGCAAGCCUGAUCCAGCAAUGCCGCGUGCAGGACGAAGGCCUUCGGGUUGUAAACUGCUUUUGUACGGAGCGAAAAGGUCUCUACUAAUACUAGGGGCUCAUGACGGUACCGUAAGAAUAAGCACCGGCUAACUACGUGCCAGCCGCCGCGGUAA
rnacentral:rRNA from 1 species